AUGGGUGUGAGAUGAGGGAAACCCUAUCAUUACAGCUGCCAAAAGCAAAAAAAAAAAAAAAAGACCUAUCAUGUUUCCUAGCUUUUUGUGUAUCAACUCAAGCAGAAGGCAGAAAGAAGUCACAGUGGAGGAGGAUCAACACAACACAUUACUGCUGUGUCAUUACUCAACUCCUAGAGGACACAAUGGAAAACUUCUGAUUAAUGACUUGGAGAGUCGGAGCACAGAAAUCCCGAAGAUCCAUUCACAAACAAAAGUUUGGCAUGUUGUGACUCAGCCCUGGGAGUGUCAGAAGACCAUCUAACUCGCUGGCUUCAGUGAGGACUUCUGAUAUUUUCUGUGCUCUUGAGGAUCCAUCUUUUCUACUUAAUAAUUAGCUGAGAAGGAAUUGUUCACUGAGAGGGACUUUGGUAUGCUGAUGGCUGUAUGGUUUUUAAAAUAGAAUGGUAUGGAAGACUUCUGUAUUUUCAAAGCACUGUACGAACUUCAUAUAAUCAGUUGGGUUGGAAGGAACCCUUAAGGGUCAUCAACUCCCCUGCAAUGAACAGAAACAUCUGCAGCAGUGAACAAAUCCUCCCUGCCCCCAGGAUUGCUGAGUAUGGAUGUUUCUGUUCGUGAAGGGAGAAACCAUCGAGGCUUGGAGAUUGUCUCAAAAUAUGUUUAGGCUUGAAAGACUGGUUUUGAUGUUGAGGGCUUUUUUGUAGUUUUAACUCAGGGAAUUUUCUUAAAAGCAAGCAAAACAGGACAAGAAAUUUAAAAACCAGAAAUUAGUUGAGUGAGAGAAAAUACUGAGAAAAAGGGGAAACUUUAUGGCUGUUCUGAAAAUAUCAGCUUGUCGUCCCCAUGAAGAUAGAAGAAUCCUCUUGAAACAGAACAGGCAUUACUGGGGUGGAGGUACUUGCUUCUCUGUGUCUAUUGCUGAAUAGCAGUCACUUUUAGGACAAAAUUUCUAAGAACACUGUAUAUAUGUAUGCAUGCAUGCAUGUAUGCAUCUAUUUAUCCAUCUGUUAUCUACAUAUCUAUCAAUCUAUUUAGCCACCUAUCCCUGUUUUUAAUGACCUACAGUAACGCUCUGCAUUUUAAGAACAGAGAUAGAAUGGCAAGGGAGUACUUUGUAAAAACCUAGGAAAUGCAAAUUAUGCUAUCUGCCAAGUCUGAGUUAAACUGAGGCUCUGUGUGCUGCGUGGUACACCAUUGUGUUCAGAUGUGAAUAAAAAAGUCCUGUGUAUAGAGUGUUGGAGGGAA
rnacentral:lncRNA from 1 species